AAUCCCUAGAUCUACUCCUUUAGAUCUCUGGUAGAAAUUAUGCUUAUUGUUGCAGAUAAAUUAUUUCCUAUCCUCUUUGUAGUAAAAAUGAAGCAGAGCAAGGGAAUCAUAAGGGAGGCAAUGGGGAUGGGAAGGUUUGAUGGAUAAUCACCAUUUCUUAACCAUAUUUGGACCUUCCAAGAAAAUUAUGGCAGAUUGAACCUCUCCAGAGCUCAUGCUUCUAUCAACCAGGGCGGGCACUUUUUGCGGUCCCAAGCCUGCUCAUGGACAAGGACGAGUACAGAAAUUAAUAAUAUGUCUUUCAUCAAAGAAUAUUUCCAUGGUGGAUUGUCUGCAUGAGUGGAACAGACAGUGACGAAGCAUAGGAGUGACAAGCCAUGUGGAAGACACGGAGACGUCGAGGAGAUACCCUCCCCUGGAGUAACAAGGGAACUCAUAAAUUGGUUGGGCGCCUACCAUCAUGCCCGAGUUGAAGAAAGACCUUCAGAUUUUGCAGGAACGACAUAGGUGAUGCAUUGCUAAUUACGUUUUGCCUGAACAUUCUUCAUUAUGAUGCACAUGUACUACUUCAUAUUAUGUUCUUUCAGUUGUAGUGUUGCAUCCUCUGGCUCGGAGGAGGUGUUCUGAUGCCCUGUGGCAUACUUCACCGAGAGGGCAAGCCAUCAACAUGAGUUUCAGGAAGAGACGGUGCAAGUGAGCUUUAAUAAUUGCGAGAAGACGGAGCCGGUACGGACGACCACGGUGGUGGGCGACAGUAGGCGUUGAUGAGCUCGUCCCGGAAGAGACCGGCGACGCGGAAGGCUCCUAGCGGCGAGCGCCGGUUGCGCGGUAGGUUCCUAGCGGCGAGCUAUCGGAGUGUUGAGAGGAGGCGCUGCAGGAGCAUCCCGGAGGAGCCCGCGGCGCGAGCGGCGAGAGGAAGCACGCGGCGGCGGAGAGCAGCAGGAGGAGCACAUUACGGCAAGGUUCAGCGACCAUGAUCAAGUUCUAGGAUCUGGUGGCCGGAUGAGGCAGAGGUGAGUGGAGGAUCCGAGCGCACCCCACGUCUCUGCUCGUCUUCUUCACCUUCACCCACGACUUCCCCGGCAGCGACGGUGUGGUGCCCAGUCUGCACACGGGUGGCUUCUCCAUUCCUCUCAACUCAUGCCAAUUCUGGAGCUCGUCUACAGGUUUGUACUCUUAUGUAUGCCCAGGGCAAGUAAAAUCAAGUCCCAUUUUGAUUGUGCUAAAUCGGAAGCAUAAACCAAAUUCCUGCUUUUGCCAUUCCUUGCCCCGGGUGAUCCUGCAACUAGAAGAACACUGUAUAUUGAUGCCACAGAAGAGCAAAUUGAAAUCGAAAAGCAGCUCGUUAGUGUGGUUACCAGUGAGGUCGCUUUCUUUUUCUUGUUAUGGUACUUACCAGUUGCUAUAGAAAUUUGUUAUUUAUCUGUGUUGCUAAAAUCUUGCUGGUUUGAUCUCACCUUAUAUACUGUGUUUUUGUCAAUUAUAUUUGCAGUGCCUGUCUUGAGCGUAUAAUUGACUGGCUAUAGUAUUAUA